CCUACGGGUGGCAGCAGUGGGGGAUAUUGCACAAUGGGGGGAACCCUGAUGCAGCGACGCCGCGUGUGGGAAGACGGUCCUCUGGAUUGUAAACCACUGUCCCCAGGGACGAAAAUGACGGUACCUGGGGAGGAAGCUCCGGCUAACUACGUGCCAGCAGCCGCGGUAAUACGUAGGGAGCGAGCGUUGUCCGGAAUUACGGGUGGUAAAGGGAGCGGAGGCGGGGAUGCAAGUUGGGUGUCAAAACUACCGACUCAACUGGGAGUCGCACUCAAAACUGCAGGUCGUGAGUGAAGUAGAGGCAGGCGGAAUUCCUAGUGUAGCGGUGAAAUGCGUAGAUAUUAGGAGGAACACCAGUGGCGAAGGCGGCCUGCUGGGCUUUUACUGACGCUGAGGCUCGAAAGUGUGGGGAGCAAACAGGAUUAGAUACCCGAGUAGUC
rnacentral:rRNA from 1 species